AUUGAACGCUGGCGGCAGGCUUAACACAUGCAAGUCGAGCGGUAACAGAGAGAAGCUUGCUUCUCUGCUGACGAGCGGCGGACGGGUGAGUAAUGCCUAGGAAUCUGCCUAGUAGUGGGGGAUAACUUGCCGAAAGGUAAGCCAAUACCGCAUACGUCCUACGGGAGAAAGGAGGGGACCUUCGGGCCUUUCGCUAUUAGAUGAGCCUAGGUCGGAUUAGUUAGUUGGUGAGGUAAUGGCUCACCAAGACCGCGAUCCGUAACUGGUCUGAGAGGAUGGUCGGUCACACUGGAACUGAGACACGGUCCAGACUCCUACGGGAGGCAGCAGUGGGGAAUAUUGGACAAUGGGGGGAACCCUGAUCCAGCCAUGCCGCGUGUGUGAAGAAGGUCUUAGGAUUGUAAAGCACUUUAAGUUGGGAGGAAGAGCAGUUAACUAAUAUUUGACUGUUUUGACGUUACCGACAGAAUAAGCACCGGCUAACUUCGUGCCAGCAGCCGCCGUAA
rnacentral:rRNA from 1 species